UACGUAGGGUGCAAGCGUUGUCCGGAAUUAUUGGGCGUAAAGAGCUCGUAGGCGGCUUGUCGCGUCGGCUGUGAAAACCUCGGGGCUCAACUCCGGGCUUGCAGCCGAUACGGGCUGGCUAGAAUUCGGUAGGGGAGACUGGAAUUCCUGGUGUAGCGGUGAAAUGCGCAGAUAUCAGGAGGAACACCGGUGGCGAAGGCGGGUCUCUGGGCCGAUAUUGACGCUGAGGAGCGAAAGCGUGGGGAGCGAACAGG
rnacentral:rRNA from 1 species